rnacentral:lncRNA from 1 species
AGCCCUCAGCGUACAUGCCAGCUAAUUACAGAUGCAGGAGCAAACCCCUGGCCCAUACAUCAAUGGAGUUUCGCUCUUGUUGCCCAGGCUGGAGUGCAACGGCACGAUCUCAGCUCACCGCAACCUCAGCCUCCCAAGUUCAAGCAAUUCUCCUGCCUCAGCGUCCUGAGUAGCUGGAAUUACAGGAUUUUGGAAGCAUUGCCUUCUACAGAAUCCACAGUAGUCCGAAGCUCUUCUACGGUUUUUGUCAAACUUUGAUUUUCCAUCUCUAGCUUCAAUAAUCUACUUGAUGUCAACUCAUUCACCUCAUGGCCCAGGGAUUUCUGGGGUGCUAUAAUAUUGAAAAAUACACCAUUGUAUUUACUCUUUACUGUUUUUACUAUGUUUACUCUUUACUAUUUAAAAAGUUGAGUGUAUAUGCAUUGCAUCAUCUGAUCCUUAACUUUAUUAAAAAUUCAAUGAGGUUAUAUAAGAUAAACAAGAUAAAAGAAGUAAAUCUUUUUUUUCCUUUUCUUUUUUUCUUUUUUUUAAAGAGACGGGGUCUCUCUCUGUCACCCAGGCUGGAGUGCAGUGAUGUGCUCCUAGCUCACUGCAGCCUCAAACGCCUGGUCUGAAGGGAUCCUCCCACCUCAGUCUCCCAAGCGGCCGGGACUGCAGGUACAGCCAGCUAAUUUUUUUAUUUUUUAGUAAAGACUGGGUCUCUGUUACUUAGGCUGGUCUCGAACUCCUGAGCUCAAGCAAUCCUCCUGCCUUGGCCUCCCAAAGUGCUGGGAUUACAGGCAUGAGCCGCUGCACCCAGCUAAGAGAUACAUGUUUAACUUUUAAUGCAUCCACAGCAUUCUAGUUAAAAAAAGCAUAAAAUUUAGAUUGAAGAAAUUGGAGUUCAAGCAGACCCAUUAAAUAUUUUGCU